UACGUAGGGUGCAAGCGUUGUCCGGAAUUAUUGGGCGUAAAGAGCUCGUAGGCGGUCUGUCGCGUCUGCUGUGAAAACUCGGGGCUUAACCCCGGGCGCAGUGGGUACGGGCAGACUAGAGUGCGGUAGGGGAGACUGGAAUUCCUGGUGUAGCGGUGAAAUGCGCAGAUAUCAGGAAGAACACCAAUGGCGAAAGGCAGCUCUC
rnacentral:rRNA from 1 species